rnacentral:misc_RNA from 1 species
AAAGUCGUAACAAGGUUUCCGUAGGUGAACCUGCGGAAGGAUCAUUACAUAAACAAAAGUUUUAAUAGUGUGUAGGCGCCGCGCAAGUGGCACUACACUCAUUAUAUACUACAAACACUUGUGAACCCGUUAUCUGAUACAUCCGAUUGACUUAUGUCAAGAGGUCGUCGUCACCUAACACCAUAUAUACAUAAACCAUUUGCACAACUAUUCAGACUUAAUCUAAGAUUUUCUAAUUGAAAAACAACUUUUAACAAUGGAUCUCUUGGCUCUU